UACGUAGGCAGCAAGCGUUGUUCGGAGUUACUGGGCGUAAAGGGUGCGUAGGUGGCUCUAUAAGUAUGGUGUGAAAUCUCCCGGCUUAACUGGGAGGGUGCGCCGUAGACUGUGGGGCUAGAGUGUGGGAGAGGAAAGUGGAAUUCCUGGUGUAGCGGUGAAAUGCGUAGAUAUCAGGAGGAACACCGGUGGUGUAAACGGCUUUCUGGACCAUAACUGACACUGAGGCACGAAAGCGUGGGGAGCAAACAGG
rnacentral:rRNA from 1 species